UCUACGUUGUGUCCACCACCACCCCCUCGGGUUUGCAUUCACGAUUCGAUGUUUUCUGAGUAAUACUAAAUUAACUCGGUGGUGAUAUGAAAAGGGGAGUUGUAAAUCUACCUCUCUCUCGGCAACAGAUGGCCCGUCCUGCUCUGGGACGAUUGAUGAAAAUAGUAGAGUGGCAGGAUAGAAGGGAGGUCCGGUUACUUCAAUCCAGAAUGUUAUAGUCGGCGUUUCUCUCUGUGGGUCCGGUUACUGCUGCUAGUCGUGGAGAAAUCGUAAAUCUAGUGGCUGAUGUGACGUCAGAAUGUCCUAGACAAAUGGAUUAGGUGAGGAUCACGAAAUUGCAGAAAGCUACUUAAAGUCAUCCUUUAGUAUUACGAGGCAAUUCCCACAUCCUCCAUCCCUAGCACAAAGGGAGGAAAUAAUUGCUAUCAAAUUAGAAAAAUCGACACUAUAUUGUCACUUCACGUGACUUUUUGGUGACAGGUUCCGUGACUACUGUUUUAACACGCUUCAAAUUGAUGCUAAAUACUCGCAUCUUUAUCCCAGGAUUUCAUCCUCAUCCUCAUCUUCAUCUGAUGCUGACGUAUUAUAACAUUUUUAAAAGACGUUGUCGUGAUUUUUAAUGACGUUUAAAACCUGUUACAGUAAUAUUGUUAAAGGAGUAGGUAUCUCGUUACUACAGUAACAUAAUGGGACUGUGUUAUCCAACAACCGUUCACUGUUUCACGGAUACGAUAUCAAAUUCCAUUUGAAAUUCCCAUUAAUUUUCUUCACAAAUUUUUAUUAAUUCAUCUGAACAUCCCGAAAACAGUUAGGACCAAAUUAAAAAAGAAAGAAAAAAAAAGGGCACCACCCGCUGUCAGAAAAGGAAGGUGCGCACUGGCUCAAAAGUUAAUCAUAGUGGCAAAAGUUUCGACUCACUUCACUCGUACAGAUUGACAGGCUGCUGGCCCGCUUUACGGAUCUUCCAGAAAAAAUAGAGGAAGAGAAGAAGAAAAAAGAAGGAUCUGGAAGGGCUCCAAAUCGAAAGUUUUGCUGAUUGGAUUUAGGGACAAGAAAAGGAUAAAAAAACACUUGAAAAGUUGGGAUGAGGCUGUAUAUAAUACCAUAACGUCUAGUAGCAUCAUCAUCAUCAUCAUCGUCAUCUGAACACUACACGUAUUAAGAGCAUCAUCUUAACUCAUCAUCAUCAUCAUAAUUACAGAUGAAUUUCAUUUAUUUCACUUUAAAAUCUCAUUUUUAAAAUUGUUCUUUUUCCAUUUAUAAAAAUGUUAAAAUCGAUUAAAGAAAAAUAAAUUAAACAAAGCGGCAGACAAAAUAUACAAGAAAAAAUGUGAAUAUUUAAUAAUAAAUAUGCAGAAAAAUCUGAUAAAGAUCCGUCAUCAUCCUCCUAUUGAUCAUUAAAACGGGACAUCUCGAAGAUAACCCGCUGAUAAUUUUCCAUCUACUUCGCUUCUACGUCAACAAAAUGUAUAUAAAAUGGCCUUUAUGAACGUGAUUAAAUGUAAUUCAUUCUUUUAAUUGCUUGAUAUACAACUUGAUUUAUAUUUAAAAGCUAAAUAUAACUUUGUAAUUUCCCUUCCUUUUUUUUUAU